GGGCCGUUAGCUCAACCAGGCAGAGCAACUGACUCUUAAUCAGUAGGUUGAAGGUUCGAUUCCUUCACGGCCCAUCA
rnacentral:tRNA from 2 species